ACACUCUCGCCGCACUAAAUAUAUACUCUCACCUUCAAUUGCACGCACACACAUCCUAACGGGCAACAAACUUGUGCCUGUUUAGAUUAAAUAAUUAGAUACUGACUCAGUUAUCUCCCUGACUCAAAUAACUUCCGUGGCGGUAGGGAUUUUCGUUACCCACUAAUAUCUAGCCAGGCCGACUCGGCGGACAUCGGCGAUCACCGGCGGAUUCAAUCACUUAUGAUCUUCGCUGGAUUUAAUCCGCAAGAUAGAGGAGCGUGCAGCUCAUCUUGUGGCCAUCGAAGCACACCCUAUUGGGAGUUUUCUACAAGCGAUCCAAAUUAUAUCUGCCGCUGGCCGAUGGAUCAGAGAGCACAACACGAUGUUGAUUGGAAUCAGAGAUCUGAAGAGUGGCAUAUGAAUAUAUGAUCCCUUUCAGGAGAUGGGUCUCAAUAUCGUUUGCCGACGUUAAUUCUGUGAACGGAAGAAUAUUUGUGUGCUCUGUGGUUGUUUCUAUAGACUUGUGGCCGACGGCCUCUAGAAUGGAAGAAUCAGUUCAGUGGCUUCUGGUGGUCGAUGGAGGCAACAUCACUCGCGGUGUGCUUGUUAAUCUCCAACGAAUUCUCACGGUCAUAUGGCCAGCGGCGCCCAGCUAGCCGUAAACCUGAUUAGCAUACUUCCUAAUUACUCCUGUUAGUGUAUAAAUGAUAAAAUGUAUAGUUUUGUGUACAACUGUUGUCUCGUGGUAUUACCCAACAAAAGGAGCAGUAGCUCCGAUUGCUAAACUACUAUGUAGAAAACUACUAAUUUGAUUCAAGCUAGAGGAUCCUACCUGUUUAGUUGUCGAAGAGUGCACUAUUUUUCUGAAAUUGCUGCUUUAAUUUUCCAUUUGUAAAAGGGUACAUGCAUUUCCCUGCUUCAACCGGUGUUUCAUUUUGCUUCGCACAAGCCUUGUGUGCUUCGUGUCAUAUAAAAAAAGUUAGUACCCCCA